AAGUCGUAACAAGGUUUCCGUAGGUGAACCUGCGGAAGGAUCAUUAUUGAUUGGUCGAAAGACCUUAUCAGAUUCUACCACCUCUGUGAACCGUUGACCUCCGGGUUAAUAAUCAAACAUCAGUGUAACGAACGUAAUAGUAUCUUAAUUAAACAAAACUUUUAACAACGGAUCUCUUGGCUCUC
rnacentral:misc_RNA from 1 species